AUUGAACGCUGGCGGCAUGCCUUACACAUGCAAGUCGAACGGUAACAGGUCUUCGGAUGCUGACGAGUGGCGAACGGGCGAGUAAUACAUCGGAACGUGCCCGAUUGUGGGGGGUAACGAGGCGAAAGCUUUGCACAUACGCCAUAAGAUCUACGCGUGAAAGCGGGGGAGAUGCGGACCUCACGGGGACUGGGCGGCCGAUGGCAGAUUAGGUAGUUGGUGGGAUAAAAGCUUACCAAGUCGACGAUCCGUAGCUGGUCUGAGAGGAUGAGCAGCCACACUGGAACUGAGACACGGCCCAGACUCCUACGGGAGGCAGCAGUGGGGAAUUUUGGACAAUGGGCGAAAGCCUGAUGCAGCCAUGCCGCGUGCAGGAUGAAGGCCUUCGGGUUGUAAACUACUUUCGGACGGAACGAAAAGCCUCUAUCUAAUAAAUAGGGGUCAUGACGGUACCGUAAGAAGAAGCACCGGCUAACUACGUG
rnacentral:rRNA from 1 species